rnacentral:rRNA from 1 species
AAUGAACGCUGGCGGCAUGCCUAACACAUGCAAGUCGAACGAAGGCUUCGGCCUUAGUGGCGCACGGGUGCGUAACGCGUGGGAAUCUGCCCUUGGGUUCGGAAUAACAGUUAGAAAUGACUGCUAAUACCGGAUGAUGACGUAAGUCCAAAGAUUUAUCGCCCAGGGAUGAGCCCGCGUAGGAUUAGCUAGUUGGUGUGGUAAAGGCGCACCAAGGCGACGAUCCUUAGCUGGUCUGAGAGGAUGAUCAGCCACACUGGGACUGAGACACGGCCCAGACUCCUACGGGAGGCAGCAGUGGGGAAUAUUGGACAAUGGGCGAAAGCCUGAUCCAGCAAUGCCGCGUGAGUGAUGAAGGCCUUAGGGUUGUAAAGCUCUUUUACCCGGGAUGAUAAUGACAGUACCGGGAGAAUAAGCCCCGGCUAACUCCGUGCCAGCCGCCGCAGUAA